GACGAACGCUGGCGGCGUGCCUAAUACAUGCAAGUCGAACGCACAGUUUAUACCGUAGCUUGCUACACCAUAAACUGUGAGUUGCGAAUGGGUGAGUAAUGCGUUGGUAACGUGCCUGGUAGAGGGGGUUGAAUAGUGGACAAGAUCGGUAAUAGCGCAUAAUAUUGAUUAUUGCAUGGUAAAUGAUUUAAAGUUGCUAUUGCAUCGCUACCAGUCGGACCUGCGUUGUAUUAGCUUGUAGGUGGGGUAAAGGCUCAACUAGGAGACGAGACGUAGACGACCGGAGAGGGGGAUCGGCCGCACUGGGACUGAGACACGGCCCAGCCCCCUACGGGAGGCAGCAGGAGGGAAUCUUCGGCAAUGGACGGAAGUCGGGACGAUGAACGCUGCGGGAGUGAAGAAGGUAGUCGCGUCGUAAAGCGCUAGUGUAAGUGAAGAAUGGAUGUGAGAGUGGAAAGUGCACACUAUGACGGUAUCUUACCAGAAAGGGACGGCUAACUACGUG
rnacentral:rRNA from 1 species